AAAGCUUGUUGAUGGAGAGAAGGUGAUUUUGGUAGGGCAUGAUUUUGGUGGUGCUUGUAUAUCAUAUGCUAUGGAGCUUUUCCCUGCUAAAAUCUCAAAAGCUGUUUUCAUUGCAGCGGCUAUGUUGACCAGUGGGCAGAGUACCCUGGAUAUGUUCUCUCAAAAGACAGAUUCGAAUGAUCUGAUGCAACAGGCUCAACUAUUUAUUUAUGCCAAUGGGAACAACAAUCCCCCAACUGCCAUUGACCUGGACAAAUCACUCCUGAGGGACUUACUAUUUAACCAGAGUCCCG